UACGAAGGGGGCUAGCGUUGUUCGGAAUUACUGGGCGUAAAGCGCACGUAGGCGGAUAUUUAAGUCGGGGGUGAAAUCCCAGAGCUCAACUCUGGAACUGCCUUUGAUACUGGGUAUCUCGAGUAUGGAAGAGGUGAGUGGAAUUCCGAGUGUAGAGGUGAAAUUCGUAGAUAUUCGGAGGAACACCAGUGGCGAAGGCGGCUCACUGGUCCAUUACUGACGCUGAGGCGCGAGAGCGUGGGGAGCAAACAGG
rnacentral:rRNA from 1 species